rnacentral:rRNA from 1 species
UACGUAGGGCGCAAGCGUUGUCCGGAAUUAUUGGGCGUAAAGCGCUCGUAGGCGGUUUGUCGCGUCUGUCGUGAAAGCUUGGGGCUUAACCCCAAGUCUGCGGUGGAUACGGGCAGACUAGAGGCAGGUAGGGGAGAACGGAAUUCCCGGUGUAGCGGUGAAAUGCGCAGAUAUCGGGAGGAACACCGGUGGCGAAGGCGGUUCUCUGGGCCUGUACUGACGCUGAGGAGCGAAAGCGUGGGGAGCGAACAGG